AUUGAACGCUGGCGGCAUGCUUUACACAUGCAAGUCGAGCGGCAGCGCGGGGGCAACCCUGGGCGGCGAGCGGCGAACGGGUGAGUAAUGCAUCGGAACGUACCCUGGAGUGGGGGAUAACGCCGCGAAAGCGGCGCUAAUACCGCAUAUGCUCUGAGGAGGAAAGUGGGGGACCGCAAGGCCUCACGCUCUGGGAGCGGCCGAUGUCCGAUUAGCUAGUUGGUGGGGUAAAGGCUUACCAAGGCGACGAUCGGUAGCUGGUCUGAGAGGAUGAUCAGCCACACUGGGACUGAGACACGGCCCAGACUCCUACGGGAGGCAGCAGUGGGGAAUUUUGGACAAUGGGGGGCAACCCUGAUCCAGCCAUGCCGCGUGAGUGAAGAAGG
rnacentral:rRNA from 1 species